AUUGAACGCUGGCGGCAGGCCUAACACAUGCAAGUCGAACGAGUGGCGGACGGGUGAGUAAUGUCUGGGAAACUGCCUGAUGGAGGGGGAUAACUACUGGAAACGGUAGCUAAUACCGCAUACCAUCAGAUGUGCCCAGAUGGGAUUAGCUGGUUGGUGGGGUAACGGCUCACCAAGGCAACGAUCCCUAGCUGGUCUGAGAGGAUGACCAGCCACACGGGAACUGAGACCGGGUCCAGACUCCUCCGGGAGGAAGGAGUGGGGAUAAUUGCACAAGGGGCGAAAGCCGGAGGCAGCCAUGCCGGGUGUAUGAAGAAGGCCUUCGGGUGGAAAAGUACUUUCAGCGGGGAGGCGUAACCCGCAGAAGAAGCACCGGCUACCUCGGUGCCAGCGGCGGCGUUAUUC
rnacentral:rRNA from 1 species